AUCGUUAUAUUUCCACGAUUAAGAAUCUAGAAUAGUCAUCGAUGAAGACCAAUAGAUACUCAUUACUACCAGUAUAUGCACGAAGCCAUAGUCUAUAAGCUUAGUCCACAGUGCUUGCGGUAAUUCAGACAUCUGUAAUGGGUCUCUUCCACUUUUUGGCGUCGUUAUUUUGGCAAGACAAGAUUCUAUCUUGUCAUCAGUCAACGUCAGUACGAAACAGUGAACGGUACAGUGAAUGAGAUGCGCAUAGUUAGUCAGUGCUUUCGUUGAUUAGUCCAGGUGAAACCUAUGCUGUGCGUUUGGAAAAUAUAUAAAAUCUUGAAUCAAUUAAUCCUUCGGAAUUUCAGUACAUCAACUGUGUUAAGAUAGAUAACCAAAGGUAGGACACAUACCACAAUUGCUAGAACAAUUUAUACAGUUUAAUUUAUCUUAAAGGCAUAAUUCCUGGAGAAAAAGGAUGGAAAACGAGCAUGUCAUGAUCUGAGUCAUUUGACGAUAACAAUCUUGGACCAACUACAGCAAGGGCCAUAGAAUGGCCAACGAACUUUAAGUCAUUACCUCAAACUGAAGAAGACCAAACCAGGCUGAUGCUUCGAAAUAUCGAUACCAAUAUUUGGCUGAUUAGUAGGAACCAACCUUUCUCACGUAAAAGGGCUUUCGUUUUAACUAUCCCCAUGUGAUUUUACGAUUCCGUUUACUUUAGAUCGAAAUUCUUCGGCUAUUUCGACAGAAAAUCUGCUGACUUUUCAGGUCCCUGGCGAUAGCGUAUAAUGACGUCAUAAGGUUGCAGACACAAAGACCACCUUUCAAGACUAGCUGACGGUUUCUAUGUUCGAUGGUGAGUAUUGGUCAAUGGUUGGUGGUCCGUAAAUCUUUACGGAGCGUUUCAGGUGAUAAUGUGAAACGUUGCUUACAGGAGAGAAAAAUAUGUAAAAACGACGAGCACAUGGAAAAUGCUG